rnacentral:rRNA from 1 species
AUUGAACGCUGGCGGCAGGCUUAACACAUGCAAGUCGAGCGGGGUGAUGGUGCUUGCACUAUCACUUAGCGGCGGACGGGUGAGUAAUGCUUAGGAAUCUGCCUAUUAGUGGGGGACAACAUCUCGAAAGGGAUGCUAAUACCGCAUACGUCCUACGGGAGAAAGCAGGGGAUCACUUGUGACCUUGCGCUAAUAGAUGAGCCUAAGUCGGAUUAGCUAGUUGGUGGGGUAAAGGCCUACCAAGGCGAAGAUCUGUAGCGGGUCUGAGAGGGUGAGCCGCCACACUGGGACUGGGAGACGGCCCAGACUCCUUCGAGAGGCAGCAGUGGGGAAUAUUGGACAAUGGGGGGAACCCUGAUCCAGCCAUGCCGCGUGUGUGAAGAAGGCCUUAUGGUUGUAAAGCACUUUAAGCGAGGAGGAGGCUCUUUUGGUUAAUACCCAAGAUGAGUGGACGUUACUCGCAGAAUAAGCACCGGCUAACUCUGUGCCAGCCGCCGCCGUAA